rnacentral:misc_RNA from 1 species
GUAGGUGAACCUGCGGAAGGAUCAUUACCGUGGGCUGGAAACAGCCCAUUGAGAUAGCACCCUUUGUUUAUGAGCACCGUUGUUUCCUCGGCGGGCUUGCCCGCCGUUAGGACAUUGAAAACCCCUUUGCAGUAGCAGUACCUUCAGUUAAAAAUAAAUAUUAAAACUUUCAACAACGGAUCUCUUGGUUCUGGCAUCGAUGAAGAACGCAGCAUCUGACUGACUUCGCCGCUUUCAAUCUCGUAUGCCG